rnacentral:lncRNA from 1 species
GGCAAAUACAAGAUAAAGAUAAAGAUAACAAUGGGUGUUUGAUUGGCCAAAAAAGCUUUCUUAUAAUUACAUCCUAGUAUUUAUACAUAAACUUGCAAACAAAAUACGGUAACUACCCAUAUUUAGUGUGAAUACUUGCCUACAUCUAGACUCCACUUUUGUUGGCAGUUUCAGUAAUGGUGCCACUAUUCUUCUGCUUGCCAUAUGCCGAUAAUCGUUGAUCCUGCAUUGUUUCUAAUGACUGUUCAAUCCUAUAUCCCGAUCCUUUUAGUUAGGCCAAUGGAAAGAUAUCUAUAAGGAGAAGAUCGGUCUAACUCGAUAGCAGUCUUCACUUCGUCUCUUUAACGAUUGUUCAAUCUAUCCAUGUUUGUCAAACUGCUUCUCAAUUACUCAUCA